AGUGGUUCUCGGGUGAUGCACCCUGGAACCAGAGAGGAGGGAGCCCGAUUCCGGGGUGCAUCACCCGAGAACUGCC
rfam:Myotis brandtii contig257638, whole genome shotgun sequence.